UAGGGAAUCUUCCGCAAUGGACGAAAGUCUGACGGAGCAACGCCGCGUGAGCGAAGAAGGUCUUCGGAUCGUAAAGCUCUGUUGUUAGGGAAAGAACAAGUACCGGAGUAACUGUCGGUACCUUGACGGUACCUAACCAGAAAGCCACGGCUAACUACGUGCCAGCAGCCGCGGUAA
rnacentral:rRNA from 1 species